GCCUUUAUAGCUCAAAGGUAGAGCGAAAUACUGUUAAUAUUUAGGUUAGGUGUUCAAAUCAUCUUAGAGAUAACA
rnacentral:tRNA from 1 species